AUUGAACGCUGGCGGCUGGCUUAACACAUGCAAGUCGAGCGGAGAGAGGUAGCUUGCUACUGAUCUUAGCGGCGGACGGGUGAGUAAUGCUUAGGAAUCUGCCUAUUAGUGGGGGACAACAUUUCGAAAGGAAUGCUAAUACCGCAUACGUCCUACGGGAGAAAGCAGGGGAUCUUCGGACCUUGCGCUAAUAGCUGAGCCUAAGUCGGAUUAGCUAGUUGGUGGGGUAAAGGCCGACCAAGGCGACGAUCUGUAGCGGGUCUGAGAGGAUGAUCCGCCACACUGGGACUGAGACACGGCCCAGACUCCUACGGGAGGAAGCAGUGGGGAAUAUUGGACAAUGGGCGGAAGCCUGAUCCAGCCAUGCCGCGUGUGUGAAGAAGGCCUUAUGGUUGUAAAGCACUUUAAGCGAGGAGGAGGCUACUUUAGUUAAUACCUAGAGAUAGUGGACGUUACUCGCAGAAUAAGCACCGGCUAACUCUGUGCCAGCAGCCGCCGUAA
rnacentral:rRNA from 1 species